rnacentral:rRNA from 1 species
UUCUUAUAGAAAUAAUUAUAAGUAAAACCUGCUCAAUGAGAAAUUUAAAUAGCCGCAGAUCACUCUGUGCUAAGGUAGCAUAAUCAUUUGUCUUAUAAUUAAAGACUAGUAUGAAAGGUAUUACGUUUAAUAUUCUAUUUAAAAUUUAAAUAAUUAAAUUUUACUAAAUAUAAAAAUAUAUUUAUAUAUAAAAAAGACGACAAGACCCUAUCGAACUUAACUAAUGUUAAACUGGGACAGUUUAUUAAUAAAAUUUUAAUUUAAUUUAAUAAAAAAUCCAUAAAAUAUGAAACCUAAUCAAGUUACCGUAGGGAUAACAGCGCAAUAUAUUUUAAAAGCUCUUAUUUUAAAAUAAGAUUACGACCUCGAUGUUGAAUUAAUAAAUCUAAUAAGUGCAACAACUUAUUAAGAAGGUCUGUUCGACCUUUAAUAUAUUACA